UUAUAUGGUCACAAAUACGAAUUUAUACGGUCGCAAAAUAAGGGGUUUAAUAGGUAUAUAAUUAAAAAUAACAGGGUGUUUUUGCAAAAUUAACGACUAACAAAAGUUAAAAAUCUUCACAUUCCGCACAUCCAUCUUCUUCUCCACCGCCGCCGGAGAACUGCCAGAGCCAACUCAGCCAAGAUGGAUUUGAACUCGAGGAAUUUCGCUGAACUCUUGACCAAAAUCGAAGCCGAAGCUGAUGAUUUCUUACUUGCGCGUAGUCAGGUUCUCGCAAAAAUCUUCCUUGCAUAUUGUUUUGUGGGUGUAUAAUAACGUUCUCGAUGCCAAUGUUCGUUGUUCUGAACGAAAAGCUUUUUGUGAAAGUCAAAAGUUUUGGAGCUAGUUCAUCGCUCUCAACUCCAUGUCUUCCAGAGCAUAUACGAUGUAACUGAUAGAAAGUCAAAGUAACGGCAACGGGAAACUUUCUCAGAUAGUCUAAUAGAGAAUUUGCAUGAUUUGGAUUCCAAGAUAAAGUUUUGAGGGCACAAUUCACAAUCAUAAUCAUAAUAAUAACAAAUGCUAAUUAUUCCAAAAACCAUAAAACAAAAAAAA